CCUACGCGGGGCAGCAGUGAGGAAUAUUGGUCAAUGGGCGCGAGCCUGAACCAGCCAAGUAGCGUGAAGGAUGACUGCCCUACGGGUUGUACACUUCUUUUAUACAGGAAUAAAGUGAGGCACGUGUGCCUUUUUGUAUGUACUUUAUGAAUAAGGAUCGGCUAACUCCGUGCCAGCAGCCGCGGUAAUACGGAGGAUCCGAGCGUUGUCCGGAUUUAUUGGGUUUAAAGGGAGCGUAGAUGGGUUGUUAAGUCAGUUGUGAAAGUUUGCGGCUCAACCGUAAAAGUGCAAUUGAUACUGGCAGUCUUGAGUACAGUGGAGGUAGGCGGAAUUCGUGGUGUAGCGGUGAAAUGCUUAGAGAUCACGAAGAACUCCGAUUGCGAAGGCAGCUUACUAAACUGCCACUGACAUUGAUGCUCGAAAGUGUGGGUAUCAAACAGGAUUAGAUACCCGGGUAGUC
rnacentral:rRNA from 1 species